UUUGGGAAUAGCUUUGCAAAGCCCUUUGGACCUCUAAAGGCCCUUGGGCAAAUGCUAGAGCAUCUGGCUGGUAUUUUUGAGAGUCCAUUUUCCAAAUGCUAGCUUUUUCAAGGCCUUCAGUAGGCCUUUUAGCCCAAGACUCCCUCACACGUGCUUCCAACUUUCUGGCUUUCUCGGCAUGCAACAGUGCCGAAUUAAUGAAUUUUUUGAAUUUCCACUAUUACCCUCACUUAUUGAUCUUAAUUCCAUAUUUACCCUUUUGAACAUAAAUACCCUUUGAUUUGACGCUCUCUCUUCCCUUGCUCUUUUCGCUCGCACGCUCACCUAACGAAGCCCAGCUCGCUCACCAUUCUUCGUUCGCCUCACAAGUGUGACAUCGCUCACUUGGUCGCCUCCGGUCGAUGGUUGUCACCGAUCGCCUCAUCAACGGUGGCACCGUCCCUCCAGAUCUAUUGUCAUAAGGCUCGCCGAGGUCGUGGGGCCCCGCUUGGGGUCCGGCGACCUCGGAGUGCUCACCCGGGCUCCGAAGUAAUCCCUAGAAAUCUUCUUCAUCCCAAAUCCAAUGACCAUGGAAGCAAUGAAGAAAUGGAAUGUCACCUGAAGCCCCUGAAGCUGAAGCACAAGGCCUAUUGGGAUGGCCUCCUCUCUCUCCGGAACUCGAUUAGAAAGAGGCUAAAAGUACUGUCACUUGAAGACAAAUUGACAGUCUUGGGAUGUAAGUAUGCCCCUUAUCAUGCUUUCAUUAGAUUCACUAUAUUAACUCCGUCAACAGGUGUAAUUGAAACAUUACCUAUGCACAUAUUAUUUAUUAGUGGAAUAUGAGGAAGUUAAUCUGUCUAGCAUGUGGCUAAGAAACUAGCUAGAUCAUGCUUCUUGACAUUGUUGCACUUAGAGGUAGAGGAUUUAUGAGCGAGCGUAAGAGAUAUAUGCUUGCCGUGGUUUUGCUGACAUGGUUCGUUGAUUUUGGCAGAGUUAGAUAUGUUGUCUCUUCUGCUAAGUUUUGCGUAGCUUUCAAUGCCAUAAUGGUGUAUAUUGGCGUUUCUAGUAUAGCUGAUAAUCAUUUUGAUGUACUUAGGAUCCAAUUGGUCACUUCUUCUCCUCCCUAUAUAUGCCCUGUCAAAACUAAAUUGAAUGUUUCCCAUUGUUUUCCUGCUUAUGGACCAUUGGCAUUGUAAUCAAUAUCGGUAUAAAUUUCAACAAUGGA